ACGUGAAUUGCCCCCUCCCAGCUAGUAAUCACGUGAAAUGUCUAAGACGCUGUAUAGACAGUGGAGUUAGUUUCUGUACCUCUCUCGCUACUCAACUAACCAAAUAUUUAUAAAAGUCGUUUUUUUCUGUUAUUAUUUUACGAGCCUCGACCAGCCUCUUCAGGUGAAAAACGCAUCAGAUGACCCGUCGGUAGUAUAAUCGUAACCGAAUGAUAUUGCAUGUUUUGUGGGCCUGCCAGUUAACGUUAGCUAGCAUCAGCAUGUUUGUGGAGGCUUAAACACAGCAAGCAAUGGACCUGUCCGCUCGCUAGCUAUCUAAAUCAACUGUAAGUGAUACGAACAGAAAGCCUGCUGAAGAGGGCCAAAGUCAGACUGACUAGAUUUCAACAUUCUGCAAACUGAAAGAUUAAGGGGAUGUCAAGCACAGCCAUGAAGAAAAAGGUGUUGCUGAUGGGCAAGAGUGGGUCUGGGAAGACGAGCAUGAGAUCGAUCAUCUUUGCCAACUACAUAGCCCGAGACACACGCCGCCUUGGAGCCACGAUUGAUGUGGAGCACUCCCAUGUGCGAUUCCUUGGCAAUCUGGUUUUGAACUUGUGGGACUGUGGAGGACAAGACACUUUCAUGGAGAACUACUUUACCAGCCAGAGAGACAACAUAUUCAGGAACGUGGAGGUACUGAUCUAUGUGUUCGAUGUGGAGAGCCGUGAGCUGGAGAAGGACAUGCAUUACUACCAGUCCUGUCUGGAGGCAAUCCUCCAGAACUCCCCUGACGCCAAGGUCUUCUGCCUGGUGCACAAAAUGGAUCUGGUUCAGGAGGACCAGAGAGACCUGAUCUUUAAGGAGCGUGAAGAGGACCUGAGGCGUCUGUCCAAGCCAUUGGCUUGCACCUGCUUCAGAACAUCAAUCUGGGAUGAAACACUGUACAAGGCAUGGUCCAGUAUUGUUUACCAGCUGAUCCCCAAUGUACAGCAGCUGGAGACAAACCUGCGUAACUUUGCCCAGAUCAUUGAGGCAGACGAAGUGCUUCUGUUUGAGAGAGCCACUUUUCUGGUAAUCUCUCACUACCAGUGCAAAGAGCAGCGUGAUGCUCACCGCUUUGAGAAGAUCAGCAACAUCAUCAAACAGUUCAAGCUCAGUUGUAGUACUUUGGUGUUUGCAGUAAACUGGCAGCCUCCUUCCAGAGCAUGGAGGUGAGGAACUCCAACUUUGCCGCCUUCAUUGAUGUCUUCACCUCUAAUACAUAUGUUAUGGUGAUAAUGUCUGACCCCUCCAUACCCUCUGCAGCCACACUCAUUAACAUCCGCAACGCCAGGAAACACUUUGAGAAGCUGGAGCGUCUGGAUGGACCAAAACACAGCCUGACCAUGCGUAUGCGCUAAGCACUGCAUCUGGACCAGGGGGUGCCAGCCAGCUGAACCAAUCAGUCCACAGACAGCUAACUACAGGCUGUGGUCCAGCCUUGACCAACGCAUAUGAGCAGCCCUGCACUGUGCUACCCUGUCUCACUCAAUCACAUGUUUUUCCUACAGAAGAUUCUGUUUUCCUUUAAGUCAAAUCUUUGUUGAUCUCAUGUAUCAUGAACUGUGAUGCUUUUCUCAGACAUGUCAGAUUUCAAAAAAAUCUAUAUAGAAAAAUCUAUUAAAUGCUCAUAUUUUACUGUUAGGGGAUACCAAUGCUGUCUUGGUCUGUCACAGUCACUCUGUAAAUGGAAGCACAGUAUGUCGAUUAAAAAAGGAGCCUCAGAAAUGA